rnacentral:lncRNA from 1 species
UGCGGGAGGUGGGGGAGAGGAGCUCGUUUUCACCUAGGGAAGACGAAUGACAGCCAUAGAAGAAGAGGCAUCAUCCUGUCUCUAAAUGGCAGGAGGACUUUGUAUAAGCCUUCCAGACAAUGGAAGCCAUGUGGGCGAAGACUCAGGUCACCCAAAGAACACCCUAUUGUCUGAAGGGGCUGCUUCUGUUGUGGCUGGAAUCAAAGACUGGGACAACGACAUCUCUGCUUUAACAAGUUCAUGUAAAGAACCACGUACCAUCCAAAGGCCCGGGGAAGAAAUUACAGGGUCUCACUAUGUAGCCCUGUCCAUCCUGGAACUUGCUACAUAAACAUAAAAGACUGGCUUCAAACUCACAGAGAUUCACCUGACUGCCUCCAAACUGCUGGGAUUAGAGGCGUGUCCCCCAACAUGCCUGCUGAUAAAUUCGUCAGAAAGUAUAUCCUAAAGUGAACCAUUCAUCUCACCUGCUAUGCAAGACUUCAACUGUGAUGGUGACACAGAUGGAAAAUGGACUGGAGCUUUACUGACAGUCAGUGGUUCUAGGUCAGCCUCGGUAUGCAGGAUUCACAAAGUGAAGUUGGAGAAGGAGAACUGAAGUCUAAGAACUUGCAGGUGAACAGGGAAAAUUACAUUUGAAAGGAAGCGAAACCACACAAGCCCUAGAUGCACCAUUGGUAAAUUCCUCAACUUCCAAAGAAGGAUUUCACUGUGUGGACUCUUGUGGAUGGAACAGAG